UACGAAGGGGGCUAGCGUUGUUCGGAAUCACUGGGCGUAAAGGGCGCGUAGGCGGCUUUAUAAGUCGGGGGUGAAAGCCCGAGGCUCAACCUCGGAACUGCCUUCGAUACUGCGGGUCUCGAGUCCGGGAGAGGUGAGUGGAAUUCCUAGUGUAGGGGUGAAAUUCGUAGAUAUUAGGAAGAACACCAGUGGCGAAGGCGGCUCACUGGCCCGGUACUGACGCUGAGGCGCGAAAGCGUGGGGAGCAAACAGG
rnacentral:rRNA from 1 species